ACAGCUGGAGGUGGAGACGCCGGAGGGGGACUAGCAGGGGGAGGAGAAGCCGGAGGAGGAGAUGCCGGAGGUGGUGAAGCAGGAGGUGGUGAAGCCGGAGGAGGAGAUGCUGGAGGAGGAGAAGCCGGAGGAGGGGAUGCAGGAGGGGGAGAUGCAGGAGGAGGAGAAGCAGGAGGUGGAGAUGAAGGAGGAGGAGAGGAAACCGGCGGCGGUGUCGCCGGAGGUGGAGAGGUGACCGCCGGUGGUGGACUCGCCGCUGGAGG
rnacentral:lncRNA from 1 species